AGAACGAACGCUGGCGGCAGGCUUAACACAUGCAAGUCGAACGGGUGUAGCAAUACAUCAGUGGCAGACGGGUGAGUAACACGUGGGAACCUUCCUAGGGGUACGGAACAACUCAGGGAAACUUGAGCUAAUACCGUAUACGUCCGUAAGGAGAAAGAUUCAUCGCCCCUAGACGGGCCCGCGUCGGAUUAGGCAGUUGGUGGGGUAACGGCCUACCAAGCCUACGAUCCGUAGCUGAUCUGAGAGGAUGAUCAGCCACACUGGGACCGAGACACGGCCCAGACUCCUACGGGAGGCAGCAGUGGGGAAUCUUGGACAAUGGGCGCAAAGCCUGAUCCAAGCCAUGCCGCGUGAGUGAAGAAAGGCCUUAGGGUGUAAAGCUCUUUUACCAGGGACGAUAAUGACGGUACCUGGAGAAUAAGCCCGCAAAACUUCGUGCAGCAGCCGC
rnacentral:rRNA from 1 species